rnacentral:rRNA from 1 species
AUUGAACGCUGGCGGCAGGCUUAACACAUGCAAGUCGAGCGGAGAUGAGGUGCUUGCACCUUAUCUUAGCGGCGGACGGGUGAGUAAUGCUUAGGAAUCUGCCUAUUAGUGGGGGACAACAUUCCGAAAGGAAUGCUAAUACCGCAUACGUCCUACGGGAGAAAGCAGGGGAUCUUCGGACCUCGCGCUAAUAGAUGAGCCUAAGUCGGAUUAGCUAGUGGGUGGGGUAAAGGCCUACCAAGGCGACGUUCUGUACCGGGUCUGAGAGGAUGAUCCGCCACACUGGGACUGAGACACGGCCCAGACUCCUACGGGAGGCAGCAGUGGGGAAUAUUGGACAAUGGGGGAAACCCUGAUCCAGCCAUGCCGCGUGUGUGAAGAAGGCCUUAUGGUUGUAAAGCACUUUAAGCGAGGAGGAGGCUACUGAGACUAAUACUCUUGGAUAGUGGACGUUACUCGCAGAAUAAGCACCGGCUAACUCUGUGCCAGCCGCCGCCGUAA